AUACGGAGGAUGCAAGCGUUAUCCGGAUUUAUUGGGUUUAAAGGGUGCGUAGGCGGUUUGCUAAGCGGGAGGUGAAAUGCCGGCGCUCAACGUCGGAAGUGCCUCCCGAACUGGUGGACUUGAAUGACUCUGCCGUGGGAGGAAUGUGUAGGGUAGCGGUGAAAUGCUUAGAGAUUACACAGAACACCGAUUGCGAAGGCAUCUCACGAAGGGUUGAUUGACGCUGUGGCACGAAAGCGUGGGGAUCAAACAGGAUUAGAUACCCUGGUAGUCCACGCAGUAAACGAUGAUGGCUAACCGCUGGGCUUAUCAGUUCAGUGGCCAAGCGAAAGCGAUAAGCCAUCCACCUGGGGAGUACGACCGCAAGGUUGAAACUCAAAGGAAUUGACGGGG
rnacentral:rRNA from 1 species